rnacentral:rRNA from 1 species
UACAGAGGUGGCAAGCGUUGUUCGGAAUUACUGGGCGUAAAGGGCGCGUAGGCGGCCUUCUAAGUCAGACGUGAAAUCCCCCGGCUUAACCUGGGAACUGCGUCUGAUACUGGGAGGCUUGAGUAUGGGAGAGGGAUGUAGAAUUCCAGGUGUAGCGGUGAAAUGCGUAGAUAUCUGGAGGAACACCGGUGGCGAAGGCGGCAUCCUGGACCGGUAUUGACACUGAGGCGCGAAAGCCAGGGGAGCAAACGGG